GGAUGUUGGUGGUAUGGCAGUAGAGGUUUGUAGCAGAAAUGCUAAAUGACAGCUUGAAACUGACUGAGCACCUGGUGGGAAGGCAGGGCCAACCCAGGGGAGCUCAGCUGUAUGCAAUUUGUUCAAGUGACCAGAAGGGGUGGAACCAGGAUCCUCCCCUUCCCAUACCACAUUUAAGGGUUGGCAGUGGAAGCAAAGUUACCUUGUUGGAGGUUCUUGUCUUUGUGAGGCCUUGUGAAGUCAUCAAAUGAUUUGGGACCAUUUGGCUCCUACUCCACCUGGCCUACUGACAUCUGUUGGGAUCACGUGUUUGUUGUGGGACUGCUACUGAGAUGGUGACAACACCUGGAAGAAAAAGAAGGAAAGGAGAAAGCUACCUCUUCAAAAAGCAGAAUAAUCUCAUUGAUUAUCACUUUGAUGCAUUAUUUAUCAUAUAAGUGUAUACAGGUGGCCACUUUACCAGAUGGACUGCCAUUGCACAUGUGAAAUAGAAGUUGCUGAGUGAUUGCCUUUUUCCCUUCCUUGCUGUCUAGAAACUUACUUUCUUUAGCUGCCACAUGCACCAAUGGCAACUGGGGAAGCAAACACAGAAAAGUGAAACUGGGGCCCUUGGGGACACCUGAAGCAUGUCUGUGAGCACAGACCAAGUCUCCAGUGCUCUCAUCACCUGACAUUUUUAAUGGGCAAUGCUUUUCCACAAGGUAAGUUAUUGGACUGAGAAGGACUGUUAUGUGCAGUGUUGUAUGGCAGCUUUCUCUUCUCUGAAGUGAUGCUUGCAGUCUGUUAAACCUGGGAAAAUAAUGGAAAAUAGAGAUCCCUCCAAACCCUUCUGGAUUUGUAAUUUCUACAUAUGAAGUAUUUACUUUUCUUCUGCCCAGAAAUGAAGCCAAAAUAGAAACCUUAAGGGAUUCUCUUAUUUUUCCUAAGAAGGCAAACAAACCAAAUCUUACUAAGCUAGCCAUCAGUCAUACCCUGGUGCACCUUGCCUGCUGCUGGUUCUGCAGCUCUCUGCUGCUCUAGUCUGGCUGAUACAUACUCAGCCCACCCAGAAGUAAGGGUGAUGGAAGCAGUGAGCGAUUUAUCUGUCAGUCCAAAGAGAUGGUCCCUAAACAACACCUCAGAGGAAACUCAAAAGCUUUGAUGGUUUCUGUGAAGAUGUUCUGCUAGAACAUUCCUUCCCGCGCACAUCUUGAACUGGAACACUUUGUCUUUCCUAAGCAGGCUGCCUGGACAGGAGGGAUGCUGUGCCGCAUGACACUUUGGUAGGAUCUCUUCCCUACCCAUCCCACAUAGUUGCAGAGCUCUCACUAUACCACAAAGUAUUGUAUGUAUGAAAUGUGGAAAGAAUGCCUUUUAGAAAAGCAUGUAGCUCAAAGCAUGCAGACUUUACCAUCACAAUUGAUACCUGGAGUUUCAAAGAGGAAGGGCAGUGUUUUCAAAGAUGUGUUUUUUGAGGUUUGCUGCCUGGCCUCUGGCAUUUUGAGGCUGAUCCCAAGGACUGCACCUUACUGGCUGAGUGAGGCAUAUGGUCCCACAGCAGAGCGUGGCAUGUACAUGGUUAAAUAAACAGGUGUUUUGAGGCCUUGAAUUUGGGGCAGAGAUAUGAUAAGAACCUGCGUGGACUUAAGUCCUACUUUGGUCUCUUUGUAAGUCAUGGACUUUAUCAGGAAUGGUACGAUGUUAGUGCCUGAAGUCAGGAGAAGAAUGCAGAUGUGCUUUGAUAGGGCCUACAGUGGGAAAUAAGAAGCCCAACUGCAUGCAAAAAAAAAAAAAAGACCCCAUUGCAUGAGGAAAUCUCCACUUUGAAGGGUUUGCAUUUGAAAACUUAUAUUUUCUUCAGUGAACUCCCUGGAAGUGUGAAGGUAGUGAAAAUCCAUGGCUUAUGGCUUUUUCUACUGUCACCUAAAAGUUAGAGGAAGCAAAUUCCAUGUUAAAGCUUUAAGAUCUGUGCAAGCAAUACAAAAACAAAGUAGGUUAGUCUGCUCUGAAACAGCAUGCGACUUGUGGUGGUCUCCUGAGAAACACUUCCUAUUUCUGUUUGGAGAAUGUGUGGCUACACAGUGAUUGGGGGCCCAUCAGAAAAAGAUGGAGGGGAAAAAGGGGAAAUGAGUUCCUUCAAUUUCUUUAUAAGCUUCAGGAUUGUUCCUCAGUUUUCUGACAGAAGCCUGUUUUGAAUGUACAUCUGUGAGGGAUUUGUUAUAUAGAAUAGACAGGAGAUGCACUGUGUUUAUUUACCCAGAGAGAUGAAAUUCUCAAUUCCCGGUUGCGGGAUGUCCUCAGGCAUGCAGAAGAGGAGAGGGGGGGGAAAAAAGAGGGAGAGGCAAUUUCAUAAGCCAGGUGGUUUAACUCUGCUCUGAAAAGCUGGAUCCCAUCCUCCAUUAGUUCCUAAGUAAUACCAGACGAGUCGUGGAAUUAAACUGGAAGAAAAAUAGGAGUUUCUGAUUUCCCAGGUGCUCCUUUAAUACACUGAGGCUGGAUUUACAGAAGGGAUGAGUGUUCACAAAUGAAAUGUAAAUAUAAGAAGCUGUAUGGAGCAAGAAUCUCUGGAGGAAAAGAGAAGUGACAAGGCUCAAAUUUAUGAUUCCUUUUGACUGUGACACGUCUGGGCAUCAAACCCCAGUCUGCGGAGUGAGAUCUGAUUUCACUGGGGAUGACUGUGCUCACAGCAGUAUUUGUGAUGCGCUCAGACACUGCUGUAAUGACUGCAUUAAGAGUCCCUGAAGAAAUAAGUCAUCCUUUUUUUCAGUCUGACAACUUUACCAUAAAUAAAACACAAUUUAGAGUGGGGCUCUGCUGGACUGGGGUGGGUGAGUGUGGAACAAGCCUGAGUAUGUCUGUGCUGUACUCUGAGUGUGCCCAAAGACAAGACUGUGGUACCAAGCAGACAUGAUUAUGCCACUUUUGGGGAUGUUUAUGUAUGUUGGGGUGUGAUACUUCACCAAAUGAAUAAAUCCUUCCAGAACUGGUGUGGUGCAGAGACAUCUAAGCUGGCUCUGGAUACACAUAUAAAGGAUCUAGGUCUGGUGCUGUGUAUGAUCUCUCUUUUUCCAGAUAAAGGUAAGGUGCUCAUGGCACAGUAGUAAGAUAGCUA
ensembl:lncRNA